rnacentral:rRNA from 1 species
GACGAACGCUGGCGGCGUGCUUAACACAUGCAAGUCGAACGGAAAGGCCCUGCUUUUGUGGGGUGCUCGAGUGGCGAACGGGUGAGUAACACGUGAGUAACCUGCCCUUGACUUUGGGAUAACUUCAGGAAACUGGGGCUAAUACCGGAUAGGAGCUCCUGCUGCAUGGUGGGGGUUGGAAAGUUUCGGCGGUUGGGGAUGGACUCGCGGCUUAUCAGCUUGUUGGUGGGGUAGUGGCUUACCAAGGCUUUGACGGGUAGCCGGCCUGAGAGGGUGACCGGCCACAUUGGGACUGAGAUACGGCCCAGACUCAUACGGGAGGCAGCAGUGGGGAAUAGUGCACAAUGGGCGGAAGCCUGGUGCAGCAACGCCGCGUGCGGGAUGACGGCCUUCGGGUUGUAAACCGCUUUCGCCUGUGACGAAGCGUGAGUGACGGUAAUGGGUAAAGAAGCACCGGCUAACUACGUG